rnacentral:tRNA from 1 species
GCGCCCGUAGCCAAAGUGGUAAGGCAUCGGUGCUAGCAUCACCGACUAUGCAGGUUCAAGUCCUGUCGGGCGCU